rnacentral:snRNA from 1 species
GCAGGGGAGAUAACAUGAUCAUGCAGGUGGUUUUCUCAGGGUGAAGCUUAUCCAUUGCACUCUGGAUGUGCUGACCCCUGCAAUUUCCCCAAAUGUGGGGGACUGC